UAACAACUCACCUGCCGAAUGAAUUAGCCCUGAAAAUGGAUGGCGCUCAAGCGGGCAGCCGACACCACGCCGUCUAAACAAAAUAUGUUUUAGAUGAGUAGGAGGAACGUGGCGGUUGUACAGAAGCAUGUCCGCAAGGAUGUGUGGAACGGCCGCUAGUGCAGAUCUUGGUGGUAGUAGCAAAUAUUCAAAUGCGAUCCUUGAAGGGCCACGCGGGGAAGGGUUCCACGCGAACAUUGAUUGAGCGUGGGUGAGUCGUUCCUAAGCCGUCUGGUAAUAGCUAGGCAUCGGCGAAAGGGAAGCAGGUUGAUUUUCCUGCACACAGAACGUAGAUGCGGUGACGCACGUCGGGCCAGAGAAGUUGUUGUAGAUUCGCUGGGCAGAGAUUUCUUUUCUGUUUGACGCCACUGUACUCUGUGGAAUCCGCUUGUCGGGAGAAACAGGUACCACAAGGCAGGAGCGCCGGAAUUUUUCUGGCGUCCGGCUUGAGUCCAACAACCCUUGAAAAUCUGGUCGCUGGCCUAUGCAUUUUGAACUUCGGUUCAAUCAAGAUAGGUGGAAAACUUCUACUCUGUAACGUACCCAUAUCCGCAUCAGGUCCCCAAGGUGAACAGCCUCUGCUCAAUAUGAAAAAU
rnacentral:rRNA from 1 species